rnacentral:rRNA from 1 species
UGCCAGACUCCUACGGGAGGCAGCAGUGGGGAAUAUUGCACAAUGGGGGAAACCCUGAUGCAGCGACGCCGCGUGAGCGAUGAAGUAUUUCGGUAUGUAAAGCUCUAUCAGCAGGGAAGAAAAUGACGGUACCUGACUAAGAAGCCCCGGCUAACUACGUGCCAGCAGCCGCGGUAAUACGUGGGGGGCAAGCGUUAUCCGGAUUUACUGGGUGUAAAGGGAGCGUAGACGGCUGUGCAAGCCAGAUGUGAAAGCCCGGGGCCCAACCCCGGGACUGCUCUUGGAACUGCGCGGCUGGAGUGCAGGAGGGGCAGGCGGAAUUCCUGGUGUAGCGGUGAAAUGCGUAGAUAUCAGGAGGAACACCGGUGGCGAAGGCGGCCUGCUGGACUGCGACUGACGUUGAGGCCCGAAAGCGUGGGGAGCAAACAGGAUUAGAUACCCCUGUA